UGCAGUCGAGCGAACUGAUUAGAAGCUUGCUUCUAUGACGUUAGCGGCGGACGGGUGAGUAACACGUGGGCAACCUGCCUGUAAGACUGGGAUAACUUCGGGAAACCGAAGCUAAUACCGGAUAGGAUCUUCUCCUUCAUGGGAGAUGAUUGAAAGAUGGUUUCGGCUAUCACUUACAGAUGGGCCCGCGGUGCAUUAGCUAGUUGGUGAGGUAACGGCUCACCAAGGCAACGAUGCAUAGCCGACCUGAGAGGGUGAUCGGCCACACUGGGACUGAGACACGGCCCAGACUCCUACGGGAGGCAGCAGUAGGGAAUCUUCCGCAAUGGACGAAAGUCUGACGGAGCAACGCCGCGUGAGUGAUGAAGGCUUUCGGGUCGUAAAACUCUGUUGUUAGGGAAGAACAAGUACGAGAGUAACUGCUCGUACCUUGACGGUACCUAACCAGAAAGCCACGGCUAACUACGUGCCAGCAGCCGCGGUAAUACGUAGGUGGCAAGCGUUAUCCGGAAUUAUUGGGCGUAAAGCGCGCGCAGGCGGUUUCUUAAGUCUGAUGUGAAAGCCCACGGCUCAACCGUGGAGGGUCAUUGGAAACUGGGGAACUUGAGUGCAGAAGAGAAAAGCGGAAUUCCACGUGUAGCGGUGAAAUGCGUAGAGAUGUGGAGGAACACCAGUGGCGAAGGCGGCUUUUUUGGUCUGUAACUGACGCUGAGG
rnacentral:rRNA from 2 species